GGUAAAGACUAGUGAUCUAGUAUUUGGGGUCACAGAGGAUGUGGCUGUAGUCCUACCAAACAAAGCUUUACUGGAACAUAGUUUUUAUCAGACUCACAUAAAAAAGCAACUGCUUGAACCCAUAUCAAUGCAGCCUACGAAGAAAAUGUGUGUGAUGAAGAAAGAAGAAAAGAGCACCUUUAAUUGUCCUGUUUGUCCAGUGAUGUGCUUAAAAGAAGACUUUUUGAUAGAUCAUGUUAUUUUGGCCAUACUAAAAAAAUAAAAAAAGGCAGAAUUCAGACAGACAGAGAUUCGUCAUUUCAGAUACCAAAUAAAGAAAAUGCUGUUGAGGAACAGGGGAGUUUCUGUGAUGAGAAUGAUACACAAAGAGCAUUUGAGUGUAAUGAAGUUGAGAGUAGUAUUUUAACCAAAAGAACAUCUGCCUUAACAACAGUGAAGGUUUUAGCGAGCAGGUGUUAAUUGGUGAUGUUGAAAGAAAUCCAGGACCUACAAUGGUUUAUCAAGACUAAUCUUAGUGCUUGCCAUACAAGUGUCAAAGAGUGAAGGGCAAGAACAAUUUUAAAGAACAGAGAAGACUUGUUUUAUUGCACUUAGUUUUGAGUUUUUGUUUUAUAUUUUACCACUAUGAUAGAGUAAUGUAACAUUCAGGAAAUGUAUUGUUCUGAUA